CCCUUAGAUGUCCUGGGCUGCACGCGCGCUACACUGGAAGUUACGGAUUGAGAUACUACCUUGUCCGAAAUGGUCCGGGUAAUCACCUAAAAGCUUGUCAUAAUUGGAAUGGAUUAUUGUAACUAGUAAUCCUGAACGAGGAAUUCCUAGUAAGUCCCAGUCAGCAGCUGGUACUGAUUACGUCCCUGCCCUUUGUACACACCGCCCGUCGCUACUACUGAUUGGACGUUUAAGCAAGAUUUUUAAACACUGACAGUGUGUAGUUCACGCUAUACUACAGUGAGAAGAAGAAGAUCGAGCUUACUUGUCUAGAGGAAGUAAAAGUCGUAACA
rnacentral:rRNA from 1 species